CUUCAUUCAGCAUCUGAACGAGGCUGCUCAGGAGACUUCCCAGCUGGACCUAUGUAGUCAAGACAGCAACUACCAUAAAGGAGGAGGAUCAAACUGAACAGGUCUUUGAACAGUAGUCCUUGAAGAGAAUAAAUCUGGAUGUCCACAGGAUGCUGGUAAAAGGUGGGAGAAGAGUGUUAAUAAACAUGUUCCCAUUAACUUGGGAAAAGGAUCAGUGCUGUAAACCUAACAAGACAGGCAAAUGAGCAGCAGCUUUGUCAUUGAGUUCACUGGUCCCAGGACUCCAUCCUGUAAAUUUUGUGCCCUUUUUUGGAAGAACACUUGUCUUUUCAUCCAUCCAUUUCAUGAGUUUGUCCUAACAGCUCUGUUAACAGAUGCUUUGUACUGUUUCCUUGGGAGUUUUGCUUUCUCUUAUCUAGUGUAUCAUCAAUCAUCAUUAUUGUCAUCAAUUUUCUCCUUAGUUUCUAGCUUGAUCUGCAGGCAUUUUCCAAUAGUGCAUGUAUUUUCUACAUUGAUCUUUGUCUUUUCACAGAAUUUCUACAUUAAACGAAUUCUUCCAAGCUGUUUUUAAAUGACAUGACAUGUUAGGAUAAAACCCACACAAUACUGUGUAUUUGUAAUGCACGUGUGCUGAGAGACCAGAACCCUCUCUGCUUAGUCUAUAAAACAAAUCCACAGAGGAAUUAAGGGAGA